UUGACCUCGAAUCAGGUAGGACUACCCGCUGAACUUAAGCAUAUCAAUA
rnacentral:rRNA from 3 species